UACGGGGGGGGCAAGCGUUGUUCGGAAUUACUGGGCGUAAAGGGCUCGUAGGUGGCCAACUAAGUCAGACGUGAAAUCCCUCGGCUUAACCGGGGAACUGCGUCUGAUACUGGAUGGCUUGAGUUCGGGAGAGGGAUGCGGAAUUCCAGGUGUAGCGGUGAAAUGCGUAGAUAUCUGGAGGAACACCGGUGGCGAAGGCGGCAUCCUGGACCGACACUGACACUGAGGAGCGAAAGCCAGGGAGCAAACGGG
rnacentral:rRNA from 1 species